GGUGGCUCAGUGCUAGAGUGCUUGCCUUGCAUGCAUGAGGCCCUGGGUUUGAUUCCCCAGCACCA
rnacentral:tRNA from 1 species